rnacentral:tRNA from 1 species
GGAGAGUUGACCGAGCGGCCGAAGGUGGCGGUCUUGAAAACCGCUGUGCGGUAACCCCGUACCAAGGGUUCAAAUCCCUUACUCUCCG